UACGUAGGGUGCAAGCGUUGUCCGGAUUUAUUGGGCGUAAAGAGCUCGUAGGCGGCUCGUUGCGUCGGCUGUGAAAACCCGCAGCUCAACUGUGGGCUUGCAGCUGAUACGGGCGGGCUGGAGUUCGGUAGGGGAGACUGGAAUUCCUGGUGUAGCGGUGAAAUGCGCAGAUAUCGGAAGGAACAUCAGUGGCGAAGGCGACUUCCUGGACCAAUACUGACGCUCAGGUGCGAAAGCGUGGGGAGCAAACAGG
rnacentral:rRNA from 1 species